AUGCAUCCUUCUACAUCCCUGUUCAUCCUCCUGUAUUCUAAUGCAUCCUUGUGCAUCCCUGUGCAUUGUCCUGGAUCACAGUGCAUCCUCAUGCAUUCAAGUGCAUCCUUAUGGAUCACAAUGCAUCUUCCUGCAUCCUUGUGCAUCCCUGUGUGUCCCCCUGCAUUCCAGUGCAUCCUCAUGCAUCUUUGUGCACCCCUGUGCCUUCUCAUGCAUCCCUGUGCAUCCUCCUGCAUUCCAAUGCAUCCUCCUGCAUCCCUGUGCAUCCUCCUGCAUCUCUGUGCAUCCUCCUUUAUUCCAAUGCAUCCUUCUGCAUCCUUGUGCAUCCCUGUGCUUGCUCAUGCAUUCCAGUGCAUCCUCCUGCAUCCCUGUGCAUCCUCCUUUAUUCCAAUGCAUCAUCCUGCAUCCUUGUGCAUCCCUGUGCAUCCUUGUGCACCUUCCUGCAUCCCAAUGCACCUCCGUGCUUCCCCACACCCCCCUGUGCAUCCCUGUGCGUCCUCCUGCAUCCCUGUGCGUCCUCCUGCAUCCCUGUGCAUCCCUGUGCAUCCUCAUGCAUCCCAAUGCCCCUCCAUGCUUCCCCCCAUUCCCCUGUGCAUCCCUGUGCUAGCUCAUGCAUUCCAGUGCAUCCUCCUGCAUCCCAAUGCACUUCCAUGCUUCCCCACACCCCCCUGUGCCUUCCUGUACAUCCUCUUGCAUCCCUGUGCAUCCUUGUGCUCGCUCAUGCAUUCCAGUGCAUCCUCCUGCAUUCUAAUGCAUCUUUGUACAUCCUUGUACAUCCUCCUGCAUCCUCCUGCAUCUCUAUGCAUCCCUGUGCAUCCUCCUGCAUUCCAAUGCAUCCUCCUGCAUCCCUGUGCAUCCUCCUUUAUUCCAAUGCAUCCUCCUGCAUCCCUGUGCUCACUCAUGCAUUCCAAUGCAUCCUCCUGCCUCCCUGCACCCCGGGUGCCCCCGUGCAGUGCCCCAGCCCCUCUCUCUCUCUCUCUCUGUGUCUCUCUCUGCAGUGCUCUGCCCGACCUGACGCGGUGCUGCCCCCACACUCCCACCCCGGCGCCUCCAAAGCGGGGCCAAACCCCAGGAAAAAGGGUCACCCCCCCGUGGCUGCCCCACCCUGCACUUCCCCCUUUGCACAGCUGGGAAUAA
rnacentral:lncRNA from 1 species